UGGAAGUGUGCCUGAAAUUUAAGGACAACCUUGAUAGGGUUGAAAAUAGGGGUUAAACCCCCUCAUUUCC
rnacentral:tRNA from 1 species